rnacentral:rRNA from 1 species
CAUCGGAACGUGCCAUUGAGUGGGGGAUAACGUAGCGAAAGUUGCGCUAAUACCGCAUAUUCUGUGAGCAGGAAAGCAGGGGACCGCAAGGCCUUGCGCUCUUUGAGCGGCCGAUGUCAGAUUAGCUAGUUGGUGAGGUAAAGGCUUACCAAGGCGACGAUCUGUAGCGGGUCUGAGAGGAUGAUCCGCCACACUGGAACUGAGACACGGUCCAGACUCCUACGGGAGGCAGCAGUGGGGAAUUUUGGACAAUGGGGGCAACCCUGAUCCAGCCAUGCCGCGUGAGUGAAGAAGGCCUUCGGGUUGUAAAGCUCUUUCGGCCGGGAAGAAAUCGCAUGGGCCAAUACCCUGUGUGGAUGACGGUACCGGAAUAAGAAGCACCGGCUAACUACGUGCCAGCAGCCGCGGUAAUACGUAGGGUGCGAGCGUUAAUCGGAAUUACUGGGCGUAAAGCGUGCGCAGGCGGUUUUGUAAGACAGGCGUGAAAUCCCCGGGCUUAACCUGGGAACUGCGUUUGUGACUGCAAGGCUAGAGUACGGCAGAGGGGGGUGGAAUUCCACGUGCAGCAGUGAAAUGCGUAGAGAUGUGGAGGAACACCAAUGGCGAAGGCAGCCCCCUGGGUCGAUACUGACGCUCAUGCACGAAAGCGUGGGUAGCAAACAGGAUUAGAUACCCUGGUAGUCCACGCCCUAAACUAUGUCGACUAGGUGUUGGGUGGGUAAAACCAUUUAGUACCGUAGCUAACGCGUGAAGUUGACCGCCUGGGGAGUACGGCCGCAAGGUUAAAACUCAAAGGAAUUGACGGGGACCCGCACAAGCGGUGGAUGAUGUGGAUUAAUUCGAUGCAACGCGAAAAACCUUACCUACCCUUGACAUGCCAGGAACUUGCCAGAGAUGGCUUGGUGCCCGAAAGGGAGCCUGGACACAGGUGCUGCAUGGCUGUCGUCAGCUCGUGUCGUGAGAUGUUGGGUUAAGUCCCGCAACGAGCGCAACCCUUGUCGUUAAUUGCCAUCAUUUAGUUGGGCACUUUAACGAGACUGCCGGUGACAAACCGGAGGAAGGUGGGGAUGACGUCAAGUCCUCAUGGCCCUUAUGGGUAGGGCUUCACACGUCAUACAAUGGUCGGUACAAAGGGUUGCCAAGCCGCGAGGCGGAGCCAAUCCCAGAAAGCCGAUCGUAGUCCGGAUUGCAGGCUGCAACUCGCCUGCAUGAAGUCGGAAUCGCUAGUAAUCGUGGAUCAGCAUGUCACGGUGAAUACGCUCCCGGGUCUUGUACACACCGCCCGUCACACCAUGGGAGCGGGUUCCGCCAGAAGUAGGUAGCCUAACCGCAAGGGGGGCGCUUACC